rnacentral:rRNA from 1 species
UGGCGGCAGGCUUAACACAUGCAAGUCGAACGACAUAGUGGCAGACGGGUGAGUAACGCGUGGAAACGUACCUUUCACUACGGAAUAGCUCUUGGAAACGAGUGGUAAUACCGUAUACGCCCUUCGGGGGAAAGAUUUAUCGGUGAAAGAUCGGUCCGCGUUAGAUUAGCUAGUUGGUGAGGUAAGAGCUCACCAAGGCGACGAUCUAUAGCUGGUCUGAGAGGAUGAUCAGCCACACUGGGACUGAGACACGGCCCAGACUCCUACGGGAGGCAGCAGUGGGGAAUAUUGCACAAUGGGCGAAAGCCUGAUGCAGCCAUGCCGCGUGAAUGAUGAAGGCCUUAGGGUUGUAAAAUUCUUUCGCUAGGGAUGAUAAUGACAGUACCUAGUAAAGAAGCCCCGGCUAACUUCGUGCCAGCAGCCGCGGUAAUACGAAGGGGGCUAGCGUUGUUCGGAAUUACUGGGCGUAAAGCGCACGUAGGCGGGUUAUUAAGUCAGAUGUGAAAUCCCAAGGCUCAACCUUGGAACUGCAUUUGAAACUGAUAGCCUAGAGAUCAGGAGAGGUUAGCGGAAUACCGAGUGUAGAGGUGAAAUUCGUAGAUAUUCGGUGGAACACCCAGUGGCGAAGGCGGCUAACUGGACUGAUACUGACGCUGA